rnacentral:rRNA from 1 species
GAUUUCUGACUUGAAACAUUUUGCCGGCCACGGUUUCGUGUGUUAGUGCUUGAUGUUCUGGUCAUCCUUCCAAUCGCUAUUGACUAUUCUUCAUUGAUUGGUCAGUGGUAUUGGAUCUUUUACUUUGAAAAAAUUAGAGUGUUUCAAGCAGGCUUUAUGCUAUGAAUACAUUAGCAUGGAAUAAUAAUUUAGGACUUCGGUUCUAUUUUGUUGGUUUCUAGGACUGAAGUAAUGAUUGAUAGGGAUAGUUGGGGGUGCUAGUAUUCAGCGGCCAGAGGUGAAAUUCUCGGAUUCGCUGAAGACUAACUUAUGCGAAAGCAUU